UGGGGAAUAUUGCACAAUGGGCGAAAGCCCGAUGCAGCAACGCCGCGUGAGUGAUGACGGUCUUCGGAUUGUAAAGCUCUGUCUUUGGGGACGAUAAUGACGGUACCCAAGGAGGAAGCCACGGCUACUACGUGCCAGCAGCCGCGGUAAUACGUAGGUGGCAAGCGUUGUCCGGAUUUACUGGGCGUAAAGGGUGCGUAGGCGGACCUUUAAGUGAGAUGUGAAAUCCCCGAGCUUAACUUGGGGGCUGCAUUUCAAACUGGAGGUCUAGAGUGCAGGAGAGGAGAGUGGAAUUCCUAGUGUAGCGGUGAAAUGCGUAGAGAUUAGGAAGAACGCCAGUGGCGAAGGCGACUCUCUGGACUGUAACUGACGCUGAGGCACGAAAGCGUGGGGAGCAAACAG
rnacentral:rRNA from 1 species